rnacentral:rRNA from 1 species
UUCAGCAGUCCAAAAUAUUAGUCAAUGCUCGCAAGAGUGAACUAGCUAACUGAAAUCAUCGAUGUGUCAUUGAUGAUGUAGUAAGGGAAAAUAAUGAUUGUACCUUACCAUUAGUGUCGUCCAAAUACUCGUGCCAGAAGACUCGGUAAGGCGAGAGACGCAAACGUUAGUCGUCUUGAUCAGGCGUAAAGGGUUUGUAGGCGGCUCUAAGAAUUUCAAUUACAAAUUUACUAGCUUUAUUUUAGGAGAUAAAGUAAGUAAGAAGAGAUCAAUUAGAGCUAGAAUCAAAAGUAGGUUAAGGUAUUUAACGCUUAAUGUAAGGUUGGUAUCCGUAAAUAUUAAGUAGAAAACUAUGGGCGAAGGCUUUUUUCCAAUAAUGAUUGACGCUGAGAAACUAAGGUGAGGACAGAAAAAAGGAUUAGAGACCCUCGUAUUCCUCACUGUCAACAAUGAAUGGAAGUUACUAGAAUAGAACUAGAGGCGAUGUUAACACGAAAAACCAUUCCGCCUUGUGAGUACGACUGCAAAGUUGAAAACAAAAAAAUUAGUCGGUUUCGGAGCAAACGAAGUGAAGCAUGUUAUUUAA